CUUCUUUAAGUCUCCAACCCAAUCUAUUUAUUUUGUCAAUUUUUUUGGUAUUUAAAUGGUAUCAAGAAAAUAUGUUGGAAUGUUUGGUGUAUAUAAAGGCAUAAAUUUAUGGCUUGGUGAUGGAUGAACCCAAAAAAGGCCAAUUGAAAGAAAAUUGCAAUUAACAAGAAACAGGAUUGGGGUUAUUUUAUAUUAAUUUUAAGAUAACUAGGAUUUUUAAAUAAAGUUAUUUUGUUGGGAUAUCUAGAAUAACUUCUAGUUUAAUUAAGUUUUAUCUUAUCUCAUAGGAUUUCUUAGGAUUUAUCUUUUAUCUUAUCAUUUAGAACUGGAAUUAUAUUAUUUUAAAUAAUUAUACCGAGGGCUCUUUAAAUAACCUGAGGGUUUCAUCAAUUGUUAGACUUUGUGCCACUGGAAUAAUAUUGAGUAUUUAGAAUAUUCCUUCUCUCUCCCCCUUUCCUUUCACUGUUUUAAAUCACACAGAAGACCAAAAACAUCAUUACUAACAUUUGUCUCUAGCCAGUUCGCCAUUCAACUUCCUUAUAUAUUACUAAACAACAUUGUUUUAAAUGAGGAACGUUUCUGAUUUGCAGCUGAGUCCAUUCUUAAUGAGUUAGACAGACACUAAAGAGUAUACUCUACCUCCAGCGAAACCUUGUAAUGCUCAAUAUUACCAAGAAAUUUUCAAACCAGUAAACAUGCCACAACCACAAGUCUAUGCUUCAAGCCUUAUUGUUUUGUUGGAUCAAUGGUAGCCCUUUUAGUGUUUAUGAUAUUUGCAUGGGAACAUUAGAGAAUAGAGUGGAGCAAGGUUGAUGGGAAGAAACUCACACAGCCCAGAACUUUGUACAUAAAUCUAACAAUUUGAAAAUAAAAGAAGAUAUGAUGAAGGGAAGAAACUCCACCUUGUUACAUGACACAAAUUGUUAGAGACAAAAAGCAAGGUGGUUUAGGUAUGAAAGAUCUUGUAAAACAGUACAAGACCUUCAUCCUCAAACUCUGCUGGAAUGUGCUUAUGAACAAAAAAAUAAGCUCUAUGGAUAAGGGUGGUGAAGGCAGAGCACAGUUGCUGGGAGGAUGAGUUAUCUCAGGUACAUAAGAAAAAGAAUGCAUCAUAGACUUAGAGAAGCAUAUGCACAGUGUGGCCACUAAUUUUUACAAGGUCUUGGGAGAAGGCUAGUCUUGGGGCGGUUGAAGACUCUGUUUUGGUUGGAUACAUAGAUGAACUUCAAAAACCUUUGGCUGAUAUAGUAGAUAGCCAAAAUAAUAUUUAUGACAUCUAUGAAAAGUGGAUGAUUUUUGGCUCCCCACGCUGAUUUGGGUACACUGCGUCGCAGAAGUGAAACAUGGAGAAAGAUUUGAAGAAAAGCUCUACCAAAGAAGAUGAAAACGUUUUUGUGGCUUUUGGAACAUGAGAAUUCAUAUUGCAUUUCUUAGAAAUAGAAGAGUACUUGCACAGACUGGCAGAUGCCUGCUAAGAUGUGCAGAGGAGGAAACAAUCAUGCACAUGAUUGGAGGCUGUCCGCAUGUAAAGGAAAAGCGGAAAAAGUUAGUGAUGUCAGAUUUGUGGCCACAAUAUUCAAACUUGGGGAGUAUAACAGUGGCUAAAGCUCUGUUUGGUUGGAGGUAAAUGGAGGGGAGGGGAGGGGAGGGGAGGGGAGGGAUACCAUUUCUUUCAUUUGGUUUAAAAUUUUUGGAGGGGAGGGGAGCCAAAAUUUUGGCUCCCCUCCCCUCCCCUCCCCUUAUUUUGGAUCCCUCCAAAUUGGGGUUUUUUUGAGGGAGAGCUAAGGUGGAGUUUCAUAUUAGAAGCAAGAAGAAUCUUCACCUAGUCUGUAUCGUGGAACAUUUUAUUCUUUUAUGUUUGUUGGGAUAUCUGGGUCUUGAGAUGUAAAAAGGCCUUUUGUAAUGAGGUUAACCAUACUGUAAGGAUUAUGCUAGAUAGUUCUCCAGGGCAAGAAUGAUGGGUAAUUUUGAGAACUCAAUCAGAUCUACUGUGGGGACGCACCUGUUGAGACAAAAAAUGAAUGUUGUUGAGCUACUUUAACCUAGAGAUUGAUGGAGCAGGAGCAGUCAAGUUUAAUGAAUGAAGCUCAUGUGGUGGAAUAGUGUUGGGCUUUUGCAAGAUAGUGGAACUUUGCCCUCCUACCUUUACAGAGAUAAAACGCAUUAUAGCUGGUUUGUCUUUUUGCCCUCCUACCUUUACAGAGAUAAAACACAUUAUAGCUGGUUUGUCUUUUUGCUGGUAAAGGGGGAUCAAAAAAUUGCAGGUUUUAUCAGAUUGUGCUCAGGCAAUCUGCUUCUUAGCUAGAGAAGCCAUGGGUGACCAUCCUUUAAUGCUAUUGAGAAAGUCAGGGAACGAGUUACUAGAGAUUGGCAUGUAUUCUUUUGUUUCAUUUCCAGAGAUUGUAAUUAUAAUGCAGAUUGUAACCUCUCCCCAUUUCAAACUGUUAUCUCUUCACUAAAUCGAUAUAAGGAGGGGUUAACUCAAUCACCAUAUCAAUUUACCAAACUGAAAUCAAAUAAAUUUAUUUAGAAAA